CAGUCAGCUUAGACAGUACAGACAGAAAACUGAUCCUCAUCCCUCUGCACAGGUGACUGUAAGGCAAGUAUUCUAGCCAGUUCCUGGGAUGGUGCUGCCUACAUGGAGAGCGGAUCCCCUGCUUCAGUGAAUCAUUUCUGGAAACACUGUUAUCUGCACGGACAGAAGUGUCCCUCAGUGAUCUCCUAAGUGGCUCUUCAUUCAUUUAUAGUGACAAUAAAGAUUAACAACUGUAA